GCUCGGCGCAGUGAUGUGUGUGUGUGUGUAUGUGUGUGUGUGGCGCGCGCGUCAGCGAACUAAACAUUCACUAACUUUCAUCUCUUAGCGACGUUUGAGGCUCUUGGGAACACUUCAGCUAUUCAGGAGGAAGAAUUCCACUGAGCGGCACCGUCACCUCCUCUCCCUCUGCCAGAAGUGAACCAGCCCGGGAAACCUGAUGCAAAGUGUCAAGCUGUAGUGCUCAAGCCUGACUUCCAUCUGAGGAGAUUUUAUUGGUAUGAGUCAUGGACAGCACGGAGAGUGGUGCUCCAUCCCACAGCCAGCUUUCCAGGCUCACCUGACCAAGUUUCGAAAUUAGUGGCCUGAAGUUCGCUUUCAGGCAAGCCAGGCACGGCCGUCGGAGGCACCGCAUUGG